GUCCCCGUAGCUUAACGGAUAAAGCAAUUUUCUCCUAAGAAAUUGAUAGGGGUUCGAUUCCUCUCGGGGACA
rnacentral:tRNA from 1 species